AUCGGGACCCUAGCAACCAGACUACUGAAAUUGCAAAGCUGCUGAAUAAAAAGCUAAAUAACUAAAAAUAAGACAAUUAUGUCAGAAUAUCGUUCUCUCCAUCAUACUAACAGUACAUUUAAAGGGGAACAACUCCUUUAACUGGGCAAGAAAUUGAAAUAUGUUCAUCUCUUUGUUGGUGGAAGGCCUGGUCUAUAGGGCAAUUGAGGGGUAAAUAAGAAGUGUGAGCAAAGGAGAAGUGGAAUUAGAUUGAACAGAAGUGAAAGUGUCGCUAGUCUCCCCCCAUGGAGUGGAAGUGAUACUGAUACCUCUGGGGCAGUCACACCUUUUCCCAGGUCUGCGACCCCCCGCGGUGCUGCCAUUGUUAUGCACUGUGUGUAGCCUCAUUGUAGCAGCUCAGGUGUAUAGGAAUCCCUCAUACUAAUCAUGUAAUCACUAAUUCCUGUUUUAUCUCAGCAUCAGCGGAAAUACACAUUUCUCUUGAUUCAUUCUCAGACGGCCUGGUACUUCCUCAAUGUAUAUAUAGUGAAUAAAGUACCCCCUCUUGUAAAAUAUAAGGAUAGGAAGUUACAGAGGAGUAACAGAGGAGGAGGUCAUGGAACUCCGAGGUAACUUCUAACAUCCUCCUAUUUUACAGCUGGGGGGACUUUAUUUAUUAUAAUACACAAAUUUCAGUGAGUCAUGUGACAGAAAUGACACCAGAACUCACCGUUUAUAACUGAUGACAUCAGAACUCACCGUUUAUAAUAAUAUAAUAAUAAUAAUUUACAAGAUAUUCAUGGCUUUUGUGUAUUAUACGUCUAUAUAGUCAUCAGACCAAACACGUUCAAUCGGUUGUAUCAUAUUGUACAUAGGUGUGUGUAUUAAUAUAGAAGGAAUAAUAACAUAUAAGGGUUUUAUAACUUUUUGAAGUCAGCCUGUAGAGUACAUCCCAAUACUUACAGUCUCCAUUCAGCAUCUCUGUACUUGUGGGUAACAUUACUGGUACUGAUCCAAUAACAUUCGUCGGCAGAACCUUUCCUGCAGCUGCUCAUAAAUCACUUUCAUAGGACAACUUGCCCUUGCUCCUUGUCUAGUCUCAUCACUGGGGGCUCCUACCUUGGCAUCUUUACCCUGGGCCUAUUAGUACCAUAGUCUUCUCUGCUGCAAGUGCCUGUUCUACCCAUCCCAUAAAGGUAAAUCACUUACUGUAUAUAACAUAUUAUUAUGUACAGGCCCGGACUGGCAAUCUGUGGGCUCUGGCAAAUGCCAGAGCCAAUGUCGGACUGGGGGGCCCCUGGGACUACUGUCCCGGGCCCUACUCUGGACCCCCUGGCCCCACUAUUGCAGCGGUGUGCAUGCUCGAAUAGUUCUGUGCGGCACCGAAAAUUGUUUAUUUCCCGGUGUCCUGCCAGGCCAGUCCGACCCUGGCCAGAGGGGCUGCUGUAAGUUCCCAUAAACAGUCACCAUAUAGUGGGCUUGUGGAGGACUAUUUGGGCCUCUGUGUAAUUGGAAUGCCAGGGCCUAUUUUGACUCCCAGUCCAGACCUGAUUAUGUGGAUUAGACUGGAAUAACUGCGUAUGGGUUUUGACUGAUUAAACGCAUUGGAUCUUAUUCGAUAAGCCACACUGUAGGUUGAUGGUGCCCUGCUUACCUAUUUAUUUGUACUUAUAGGUGGCACAUGGCUCUGGAUCCAGAGGUCCCAUAUUUGCAAAGCCGGAGCUUGCAGCCGACAGAUUGGUAGAGGCUGAGUCCCAGAGUUCGCAGCUGACAGAAGAAAUGACUUGCGUCGCUCCCAAUCAACAGGAAACCGAUUCAGUGAAUUCCAAGUUCCACAGGGAUCUCCGAAGAGAAGGAAUUUGCCCUUGAAAUAAACAGAUUCCAUAAUCAU